rnacentral:rRNA from 1 species
AUGGCAGAGUUUUCCGUGUGCACCGCAUAUCAUGCUCUAUGCCGGUCACCUGCCACACCCUGGUUAGAACCAAUGUCGAAAGCUCCCGUACCCCUGAAGAUUAAGAUAUUCGUGUGGCAGCUUCUACGCAAUCGCCUUUGCUCGGGGACAGAGGUACUUAAGCAACAAGGCCCGAGGAAUGGCUUGUGCCCGCUCUGCGCUGUACCAGAGACGGAGACUCAUAUCCUAUUCUCAUGUACGGCAGUGAGGGUGAUGUGGAUGUUCGUACACGAGGCGUUGGGGCCCGACUGGGAGGCCCUGAACCUUGUGGACUUCCUCCAGUAUAGGGCUAUGCAGCCGUUGCAACAUCCCCUCCUUUUUUGGCUCAUCUUUGCGGCGAUGUCAUGGACACUGUGGAUAACUUGUAAUAAAAUGGUGAUUGAGAAUGUCUUCCCGCGGAAGGUAUCUGACUCCUGCUUCGAAUUCCUUGCUUUUCUGCAGCACUGGCUGCUGUCAAGGUAG